rnacentral:rRNA from 1 species
GCCCCGGCUAACUACGUGCCAGCAGCCGCGGUAAUACGUAGGGGGCUAGCGUUAUCCGGAAUUACUGGGCGUAAAGGGUGCGUAGGCGGUCUUUCAAGCCAGAAGUGAAAGGCUACGGCUCAACCGUAGUAAGCUUUUGGAACUGUAGGACUUGAGUGCAGGAGAGGAGAGUGGAAUUCCUAGUGUAGCGGUGAAAUGCGUAGAUAUUAGGAGGAACACCAGUAGCGAAGGCGGCUCUCUGGACUGUAACUGACGCUGAGGCACGAAAGCGUGGGGAGCAAACAGGAUUAGAUACCCUGGUAGUCCACGCCGUAAACGAUGAGUACUAGGUGUCGGGGGUUACCCCCCUCGGUGCCGCAGCUAACGCAUUAAGUACUCCGCCUGGGAAGUACGCUCGCA